UCCUGAUCUUUAGUACUGAUGGCUGAAAAACUCUCAAAUGCUGUGUUGCCAUCAGCUUGAGCUCAUGAUUUUAUGGGCUGCGAGUUAAAUUACAACACUACAUUU